GUAAGCAGGGACAAGCAGGAAAUCGCUCUCCUCUUCUCUUCUCUGCGGAGACACGGAGCAGAUGUGAUAUGGAGGAGUAAGAGGACCUGAGUAAGAGGACUGGACCUUUUCUCUGUACCUACUGUGGGAUAACGCUCUUGUUCAGUGUGAAGAUUUGUCACUCGCAUUGGUUUAGUAAAACGCUGAGGAUUUGUCACAGUUAUCGGUUUAGUAAAACGCUGAUUGGCCAGUAGCCAGGCUGGAAGUAUAGGUGGGGCUGCCAGACGAAGAGAAUUCUGGGAAGAGGAAGGAAGAGAUGGAGUUGCCAGCCAGACGCAGAAGAAGAUGAGAAUGUCUUCCUGAGAAGAGCAGUAGAGAGUAGCGAUGGUGAGAAGGGCAAACACGGCAAAGCUGGACAUGAUGGAGACGAUGACCGUCAUGGAGUACGCAGGCGCAGAGACCGCCAGGGAGGAGGUGGAGGAAGGCAUGUUCGGAAUGUCCACGCUCGGCUUGGAGGACGCCACCGAUGGGAAUGCUGCAAGGGAACGAUAGUUCUUUCCGCUUACUUUGGAGCCUUUAAGAAGCAGGUUUUUUGUUUGUUUGGUUUUUGUGUUUUGUGCUGAAGCACUUACUACCACAGCACUAAGAACAGGCUAGUGUAUCAGGGUCUCCUUGGCUAUCUGUCUAUAAAGUCCAGUAUUAAGGAUCCAGUAAGGUUCAUUUGCAAGGAAGAGGAGAAAUACACUUUUUUUUUCUGAAAGAAAUGUAAGGCCCAGACUUAGGCUUCUUAUGUACCACCUAUGACUGACGGCACUGGGAAAAUUAUGCACUCAAAAAUAUUUUCACAUAAUGAGAUGACUGAAUGUGAGAACUCUGUGUGUGUGUGUGUGUGACUGGAAGAAGAUGAAAAAUGAAUCCACCGGAACAUAAACAAGCAAAAGUCAACUCAUCUACAACUUGAACUCUUAUCAAACUCCCACGUAAAAGGCCCAUAAAAGCAAUAAAAUCUGCAUUUGUGCUGGUAUCAGCAAAUGCUACCUGAAGCUUGUCAGUCCACGGUGGACAUAGUUAAACAACCUUAUUGUGAAUACCUUGAAAUCUUCUUUGUAAAGUGAGUAAAGACAAAAAAAAAAAACAAAACCACAGAAACAGAUAUUUUAUACAUAACCAAAAACAGUCUUGACAGCCAAGAAUCAACUUUGUAGCCCAAAAAGAGAUGAUUUCUUCAAAUCCUGGGGAAGACUGACAGAUGUGACUGGUGUUAGGCCACAAAGAUAAACCUCAAUAAAUGUUAAAAGCAUAAA